AUGUCUAUGAUAUGGUUUAAUAACAUAAUAACAGAAAAUAAAUUGCAGCAACAAUGUUGGUAUUUCAGGAAGCCCCUCCAGUGCAAUGCCCUGGCAGAUAAAACCUACGACACAUCUGGCAUGACCUUUGCUUAUGGUGGUGCAGGCGUGCUGGAUAGCACAUCACAAGAGGGUCACACCCUCACCAAGAAAGUCAACACUUUUAGGAUGAUUUAUUUGAAUGACGGGACCAUCUUAGAGAAGCAAUUGACUCGCUCGGUAGAGCUUGAGGCCGUCUAUGGUAACGACUAUGCAAGCACAAGCGGGAUUUGCCUAAGUAGCGUGAAUCUCUAG
rnacentral:rRNA from 1 species